rnacentral:rRNA from 1 species
AACGAACGCUGGCGGCAUGCCUAACACAUGCAAGUCGAACGAGACCUUCGGGUCUAGUGGCGCACGGGUGCGUAACGCGUGGGAACCUGCCCUUAGGUUCGGAAUAACUCCCCGAAAGGGGUGCUAAUACCGGAUAAUGUCUUCGGACCAAAGAUUUAUCGCCUUUGGAUGGGCCCGCGUUGGAUUAGCUAGUUGGUAGGGUAAAAGCCUACCAAGGCGACGCUCCAUAGCUGGUCUGAGAGGAUGAUCAGCCACACUGGGACUGAGACACGGCCCAGACUCCUACGGGAGGCAGCAGUGGGGAAUAUUGGACAAUGGGCGAAAGCCUGAUCCAGCAAUGCCGCGUGAGUGAUGAAGGCCUUAGGGUUGUAAAGCUCUUUUACCCGGGAUGAUAAUGACAGUACCGGGAGAAUAAGCACCGGCUAACUCCGUG